GUAACGUACAGAAACUUGCCAGUACUCAUUAGAACCCGUGUCGUAAUCUGUUGUUAAACGCGUUAGCAGCCGCGCAGAGAAAGUUUUCAGACUGAAUUCAACGAACAGACUGAAUUCUCUCUCCUCUUAUUUCUCUGUAUUCUCUGUCAAGACAACGCAGCAUCAACUAUUACGAGUAUUCCAUUCUGUUCAGCAAUGAACAACAAUCUCUGGCUAUCGUGUGCUACAAUUCAAAAUGUGAUGUUACAUCUCCUUAUCGGUGUACGUUAUGUUGUACUCUUAAUAUAUUUGUCUAUAACAAACAUUAUAAUUGAAUUAUAACUAGUGGGACAAGACAGUGACAAAAACACACGUUUAAUCCCAAAAUCAAACGAAGAAAUAAUUUCAAUGCGGAAUUGGUUGACAACAUAUUGACUUCUAAGAUUGCUCCUUUAUAAAAGCCAGGAGGAGACGUAACUUAUGUU